rnacentral:rRNA from 1 species
GAUGAACGCUGGCGGCGUGCUUAACACAUGCAAGUCGAACGGUGAAGGCGGAGCUUGCUCUGCUGGAUCAGUGGCGAACGGGUGAGUAACACGUGAGCAAUCUGCCCCUGACUCUGGGAUAAGCGCUGGAAACGGCGUCUAAUACUGGAUACGAGCUGCGAAGGCAUCUUCAGCAGCUGGAAAGAAUUUCGGUCAGGGAUGAGCUCGCGGCCUAUCAGCUUGUUGGUGAGGUAAUGGCUCACCAAGGCGUCGACGGGUAGCCGGCCUGAGAGGGUGACCGGCCACACUGGGACUGAGACACGGCCCAGACUCCUACGGGAGGCAGCAGUGGGGAAUAUUGCACAAUGGGCGAAAGCCUGAUGCAGCAACGCCGCGUGAGGGACGACGGCCUUCGGGUUGUAAACCUCUUUUAGCAGGGAAGAAGCGAAAGUGACGGUACCUGCAGAAAAAGCCCCGGCUAACUACGUG